CCUACGGGAGGCUGCAGUGGGGAAUAUUGGACAAUGGGGGCAACCCUGAUCCAGCCAUGCCGCGUGUGUGAAGAAGGCCCUCGGGUUGUAAAGCACUUUCAGUGAGGAAGAACGCCUGGUGGUUAAUACCCAUCAGGAAAGACAUCACUCACAGAAGAAGCACCGGCUAACUCCGUGCCAGCAGCCGCGGUAAUACGGAGGGUGCGAGCGUUAAUCGGAAUUACUGGGCGUAAAGCGCGCGUAGGUGGCUUGAUAAGCCGGUUGUGAAAGCCCCGGGCUCAACCUGGGAACGGCAUCCGGAACUGUCAAGCUAGAGUGCAGGAGAGGAAGGUAGAAUUCCCGGUGUAGCGGUGAAAUGCGUAGAGAUCGGGAGGAAUACCAGUGGCGAAGGCGGCCUUCUGGACUGAAACUGACACUGAGGUGCGAAAGCGUGGGUAGCAAACAGGAUUAGAUACCCCGGUAGUC
rnacentral:rRNA from 1 species